AAGAAAUCACAGAUGAUAUCUUAUAGGAGAAGAAAAAAAAAUCAGCGUGCUCGCCUGCUCGGCCGGCCGUUCAUUGGAGCAACGUGUUGUUUAAUUAUGUAACUGUCAUUCUUUUCUUUAAAAAAAAGCUUAUAACUCCCACAAUUCAAACGUCAUUGCAGCGAGGAAUCUUUCUUAGACAUGGCGCCUGGAAGCGACAGGAAGCGCAAACGCCAUGUGGUUUGCCCCUAUCCUUCAGAAGACAGUAGCGACGAUAGUGAAGUUGAAGAAACUAGGCCUUAUUUUCACAAUAAAUUAGCAUCUAUUAAUAUUUAGCUUCAUUUUUAAUUUAUUUGUUUUCCUGUGUCUCUUAUCAAUUACAAUGGAGACGAAAGCAAUCAUAGCGAUGAAGAAGACUCGAGGAGUAGGAGGAUGGCGGCAGCGAUGGAGAUAGUGAAAACACAGGGACAUGUAUUCUUGUUCUUACUAUUUUAAGAGGAUAGAAAUUCAUUCUCAAUGUUGGUGUAUUUUAUUAUUUUCAGGUUAAGGGAUGGAAAAUGGAGAAGAAGUUUGUCGAAGUUCAUCGUUUAUUAUAAAUUGUAGAGGCAUAUAUAUUGUUUCUUUGAUUGAUCGAUUGUGUUUGUGCUUGUAGCUGCCAUGGAGGGUAAUUUGAAGUCUUGAUAAUUGAAUCAGGGUUCUGGUAUUAAUUAGAUUUAAGAAAGGGACAAGGCACUGGAAGAUUCUCGGGAGGAGAGCUGUAGCUGGAAGGCUAGUUAAGGAAAGCUAUGGUUCUGCCUAACAGCAACAUACAUUUAUAGUACUAAGACUCUGUUUUCAGGUUGAAGUACUGUGGAGCAAGGGGGUUAAGAAAUUGCCUCCGCUUCCUCCUCUGCCUGUGAAAGGCCGGAAUCUCUCAAAAGGAGAACUAUCAGACAAUGUUGGAAUGGUGUAGCAGAAAGACAUGAAGUGCUUGCUGAAAAGCACAAACGAGGUGCAGCAACAAGACGUCCGAGAACAAAGAAGAAAUCUAAGAUGACAUGGUCUAAAAAUGGAGUGUCGUAAUCCUUCCCAUCAACUGUGAUGCCUGCACAAUAUCAGGGGCUUAUUCAAAACAGUGGAACCAGUUAUGGCCAUGCAAAUCCUAGCUACAACUUCGAAGGGAGUAAUUCGAGCCACAUACCAGAAAUGAUUAACAUUGACAGACCAUUACACCGAAUUCCUCAAAGAAUGGAGACAUAGGGACCAUCAUCGUUGAGAUGUCAUAUCUGGGAUAUGAAAGAUGGGUUAUUUCCUGUCAUCCAAACGACGCUGAUAAAGAGUAGCAAGAUGCCUUGCAACCAAUUGAUGCGCUAAUUUGGUUGUAAGUAAUCCAGUUAUUACUCCAGUUGGUGAUUUUCUCUCUUGGUUGAUCCACGUUAAUCAUUUAUGAGAUGCUUCAAUCAUAUUCAUCCGUCAAAGGCUCACCGGGUCAGGAGAAGGACAUGAUAGCAGUAGCCUCUCAAAUUGGAUUUUAUUGAUCAUGUAUCAAUGAUUGCGAUGCGACAUUGAUGGUGAGAAGCAAACAGCCACAAUUGUAUUGAUAGUUUGACCAAUUCUCAUGCAAAAACAAAUAGCAUAGUCCUUUCCCGCAAAUUGCAAGACCUAUCUACAAGAUUGCUUCCAUCUUGCAUUCAUGUUCUCUCUGAAUUCCAGGUCUGGAAAUUGGUGCCAGCAAUGCUUGCUAACCAUGACCCUUCUGCAUAAACAUUUUGUUCUCAUGUUGGUAACAUCAUCUUGUUAAAUGAACACAUUUCCUUUCUAUAUGCUUUAUUAUUGAAGACAUUAACCGCA